rnacentral:rRNA from 1 species
UACGUAGGUGGCAAGCGUUGUCCGGAAUUAUUGGGCGUAAAGCGCGCGCAGGUGGUUCCUUAAGUCUGAUGUGAAAGCCCACGGCUCAACCGUGGAGGGUCAUUGGAAACUGGGGAACUUGAGUGCAGAAGAGGAAAGUGGAAUUCCAAGUGUAGCGGUGAAAUGCGUAGAGAUUUGGAGGAACACCAGUGGCGAAGGCGACUUUCUGGUCUGUAACUGACACUGAGGCGCGAAGGCGUGGGGAGCAAACAGG